GCCGUUUCUUCGUUUUUCCGUUGUUUUUUCGCGGCCUCGCACAAGCGCAUCGACGCCGCGCCGCAAAAGAGAAGAGAGAAGAACGGAGGAAAAACUGGACGAGCGAAACGCGACGGCGAGAAAGGCGAAGAGACGGCGACGGGACACGGCGGAUCGAAGCGAGAGGAGAAAACGGACGAGGUCUCGAAACGACGAAGAGGGACGCGAAGAAGAGGAGCGGAGGACGCGGCAGAGAAGAGAGAAGCGCGGUGGUACCCGUCGCGGGAGAAGCUGCACCGCCCGAAGGAAGGAAAGCGGUUCGAGUUGCGCUCGUCUCGCUCGAUCGUACCUUCGGCUCGCUUCCCUUUGUCCCUGUCGUACAUACGCGUUCACGCAUACGCGCGCUCACGCAUACGCGUGCGUGGCCGUCAUCAUCGCGAUCCGGACGUCUCGCAUGGAACGUAGGAAACGAAGCCGGGCAACUCGCCUCCAGAGUUCUCGGAGGGGUCUGCGAGCGGACCGAAGUAGCCGCGAGCUACCACCAUCGAACGCCGCUCC
rnacentral:misc_RNA from 1 species